rnacentral:rRNA from 1 species
GAUGAACGCUAGCGGCAGGCUUAAUACAUGCAAGUCGAACGGUAAGGUCUCUUCGGAGAUACACGAGUGGCGCACGGGUGCGUAACGCGUAUGCAACCUACCUUUAACUGGGAAAUAGCCCCGAGAAAUCGGGAUUAAUUCUCCAUAACAUCCUUGGAUCGCAUGAUUCGGGGAUCAAAGUUCAGACGGUCAGAGAUGGGCAUGCGUGACAUUAGCUAGUUGGUGAGGUAACGGCCCACCAAGGCUACGAUGUCUAGGGGUCCUGAGAGGGUGAUCCCCCA